GCCGGGCGCGGUGGUGCGUGCCUGUAGUCCCAGCCACUCGGGAGGCUGAGGCGGGAGGAUCGCUUGAGCCCAGGAGUUCUGGGCUGUAGUGCGCUAUGCCGAUUGGGUGUCUGCACUAAGUUCGGCAUCAAUAUGGUGACCUCCCGGGAACGGGGAGCCACCAGGUUGCCUAAGGAGGGGUGAACCGGCCCAGGUUGGAAACAGAGCAGGUCAAAACUCCCGUGCUGACCAAUAGUGGGAUGGCGCCUGUGAAUAGCCAGUGCACUGCAGCCUGGAUAACAUAGCGAGACCCCAUCUCUU
ensembl:misc_RNA Metazoa_SRP Metazoan signal recognition particle RNA